rnacentral:rRNA from 1 species
UACGAAGGGGGCUAGCGUUGUUCGGAUUUACUGGGCGUAAAGCGCACGUAGGCGGAUCGUUAAGUCGGGGGUGAAAUCCUGGAGCUCAACUCCAGAACUGCCUUCGAUACUGGCGAUCUCGAGUCCGGAAGAGGUGAGUGGAACUCCUAGUGUAGAGGUGGAAUUCGUAGAUAUUCGCAAGAACACCGGUGGCGAAGGCGGCCAACUGGUCCGGAUCUGACGCUGAGGCGCGAAAGCGGUGGGGAGCAAACAGG